rnacentral:rRNA from 1 species
CCUACGGGAGGCAGCAGUGAGGAAUAUUGGUCAAUGGACGAGAGUCUGAACCAGCCAAGUAGCGUGAAGGAUGACUGCCCUAUGGGUUGUAAACUUCUUUUAUAUGGGAAUAAAACGUUCCACGUGUGGGAUUUUGUAUGUACCAUAUGAAUAAGGAUCGGCUAACUCCGUGCCAGCAGCCGCGGUAAUACGGAGGAUCCGAGCGUUAUCCGGAUUUAUUGGGUUUAAAGGGAGCGUAGGUGGAUUGUUAAGUCAGUUGUGAAAGUUUGCGGCUCAACCGUAAAAUUGCAGUUGAAACUGGCAGUCUUGAGUACAGUAGAGUUGGGCGGAAUUCGUGGUGUAGCGGUGAAAUGCUUAGAUAUCACGAAGAACUCCGAUUGCGAAGGCAGUUCACUGGACUGCAACUGACACUGAGGCUCGAAAGUGUGGGUAUCAAACAGGAUUAGAUACCCCAGUAGUC